rnacentral:lncRNA from 1 species
GCGGCCUGGGUCUCGGAGGGCGGCGGCCCGUGCUCCGCUUUCUCCCGAGGGGCUGCGCUUCGGCCUUUGUGGGGCGGGGGCGUCCCGGCGGCUGGGGCAGGAUGGGGGGGCCGCUGACGUCCGCGAGGGCGGGGCGCGCUUGUUUUCGCGGCCGCGGGCGUUUGGCCGGAGGUUCGGGGCGGGCGGGCGAGCGAGCGAGCGAGCGAGCGGCCGCGGCGUUAGGCCUGGAGGGGCCGCUUGUGGGCUCCCGGUGCGAGCAUCUCCCGACGGACCCGAGCUCCGGGCCGCCGCACGCGCCGGCCCUGGCCGGCUUUUUGUUUUCGUCCUUCCUCGCCCGCGCGCCCGCCGUGCUCAGGGAAGCGCCCGGCUCGCCUCGGCUCGGCUCGGCUCGGCUGCGGAGCUGCGCCUCCCCGGGAUCCGAGGCGCGGCGGGGCCCACGGAGACCGGGGCCGGGUGAGUGCGGGGCCGCGCACCGAGAGCGGCCCGGAAGGCGUGGUGGAGGGCCGUGCCGGCCGACGGGAGUGACCGUUGUCGCCGUAGCGUGAGGCCGGGCCGCAGGGCAGGUAUUGUGUCCAGGAGGCCAGAAGAGGGCAUCAGAGCCCCCAAAGCCGGAAUAAAAAGGUGGUGACCUCCAGGCCAACCAGGACUGAAUGAUUUGAUGCGGUGAUGCUGCACUUAGCCAACACAAACAACAGCUCAAGAAUCAGGAGCAAUCUGUAGGCCACUUGUCUGGAUCAAGGCCUGUGGACAAAGAGAUUGGUGGUGGGGUGUAAUUUUGUUUUGAGACAGGGUCUCAAUGUAACCUUACCUGUCCCAGAACUAUGUAGAUUGUUGAGGAAUAAAAUAUUUGUUUUACUAAGUAAGUAAAGAUGUGUUACAGUUGUUUGUUGCAGAAUAAUUCUUUAACUAUUAAAGAUGUGUUACUGUUUUAUAUUGCCUGCCUAAGGCACCCGAUUGGUCUAAUAAAAAGCUGAAUAGCCAAUAGCUAGGCAGCGGAGGGGAGGACAGAGAAAAAAGGGGAGGCAGACAGACAGACAGGGAGCAGGUAAGCAGGAUGGGCAGUGCAUGGAUGAGGAACAUGAGCCUCAGGGCAGCACAUAGAUGAACAGAAAUGAGUUAAAGUUAAUUUAAAAUUUAAGUUAAAGAAAAACUAGCUAGAGAC